AUUGAACGCUGGCGGCAGGCUUAACACAUGCAAGUCGGGCGGUAGCACAGGGGAGCUUGCUCCCUGGGUGACGAGCGGCGGACGGGUGAGUAAUGUCUGGGAAACUGCCUGAUGGAGGGGGAUAACUACUGGAAACGGUAGCUAAUACCGCAUAACGUCGCAAGACCAAAGAGGGGGACCUUCGGGCCUCUUGCCAUCAGAUGUGCCCAGAUGGGAUUAGCUAGUAGGUGGGGUAAUGGCUCACCUAGGCGACGAUCCCUAGCUGGUCUGAGAGGAUGACCAGCCACACUGGAACUGAGACACGGUCCAGACUCCUACGGGAGGCAGCAGUGGGGAAUAUUGCACAAUGGGCGCAAGCCUGAUGCAGCCAUGCCGCGUGUGUGAAGAAGGCCUUCGGGUUGUAAAGCACUUUCAGCGAGGAGGAAGGUGGUGAGCUUAAUACGUUCAUCAAUUGACGUUACUCGCAGAAGAAGCACCGGCUAACUCCGUG
rnacentral:rRNA from 1 species